CUAAUCUGAAAAAAACAUUUCUGAAAUAUGCUUUGUGUACAAAGACAUAGUCAUACUACAACAAAAAAGCCUUGUCUUAAACUCCUUAUUACAAAUUUGGAAUCACACAAUCAAGUAGAAUGUCAUUGUAUAUGGUAACAUUAAGAUGUAACUCCCUUGAAUUAAUGGGCCUAGAAAAAAUAGACCAUUAUUACUCUUCAAAGGAAUUUACAGUUGGCAAUUUGCAGUCAAGCAGGUAGUGUUCUUGUGGAAUCUGAAAUAACCCACAACCACUAGAAUACCUUAUUUGUCUGUG